rnacentral:rRNA from 1 species
UUUAAAUUGAGAGUUUGAUCCUGGCUCAGGAUGAACGCUGGUGGCGUGCCUAAUACAUGCAAGUCGUACGCUAGCCGCUGAAUUGAUCCUUCGGGUGAAGUGAGGCAAUGACUAGAGUGGCGAACUGGUGAGUAACACGUAAGAAACCUGCCCUUUAGUGGGGGAUAACAUUUGGAAACAGAUGCUAAUACCGCGUAACAACAAAUCACACAUGUGAUCUGUUUGAAAGGUCCUUUUGGAUCGCUAGAGGAUGGUCUUGCGGCGUAUUAGCUUGUUGGUAGGGUAGAAGCCUACCAAGGCAAUGAUGCGUAGCCGAGUUGAGAGACUGGCCGGCCACAUUGGGACUGAGACACUGCCCAAACUCCUACGGGAGGCUGCAGUAGGGAAUUUUCCGCAAUGCACGAAAGUGUGACGGAGCGACGCCGCGUGUGUGAUGAAGGCUUUCGGGUCGUAAAGCACUGUUGUAAGGGAAGAAUAACUGAAUUCAGAGAAAGUUUUCAGCUUGACGGUACCUUACCAGAAAGGGAUGGCUAAAUACGUGCCAGCAGCCGCGGUAAUACGUAUGUCCCGAGCGUUAUCCGGAUUUAUUGGGCGUAAAGCGAGCGCAGACGGUUUAUUAAGUCUGAUGUGAAAUCCCGAGGCCCAACCUCGGAACUGCAUUGGAAACUGAUUUACUUGAGUGCGAUAGAGGCAAGUGGAACUCCAUGUGUAGCGGUGAAAUGCGUAGAUAUGUGGAAGAACACCAGUGGCGAAAGCGGCUUGCUAGAUCGUAACUGACGUUGAGGCUCGAAAGUAUGGGUAGCAAACGGGAUUAGAUACCCCGGU